rnacentral:lncRNA from 10 species
UAGGUGGGCUGAAUUAAAAAUCUGAGACCUGCUUUUAGGUGAAUGCGGGGUGAAAACAGGGACCGGCCAGGCGCGGUGGCUCACACCUGUAAUCCCAGCACUUCGGGAGGCCGAGGCGGGUGGAUGACCUGAAGUCAGGAGUUUGAAACCAGCCUGGCCAAUAUGGUGAAACCCCUGUGGUGAGAACGCUUAAAAUCUACUCACAUAGUGAUUUUCAAGUAUGCAAUACAUUGUUAUUAACUAUAGUCACCAAAUUAUACAGUAGAUCUCUUGAAUCUAUUCUUCCUAUCUAGCUGAAAUUUUAUAUUCUUUGAUCAGCCUCUCCAGUAACCCUUCAGGCAGCCCCUGGUAACCACCAUUCUACUCUCCACAUUUUUGCUUUAUCCAUUCAUCCAUUGAUGGACAGUUAGGUGGAUUCCAAAGCUUGACUAUUGUGAUAAUGCUGCAAUAUCAUUCUCCUUUUAUGGGUAAUAAAAUGGAGCUUCAACAUGUUAAAUUAAUUGCUCAAAGUUCCACAAGUGGGCAGGAUUUUUUUUUGUCUUUUUAUAUUUGUAACUCUAUUUCACAUAAAGGCUCUCUGUCCACUCAAAAGGUUUACCUCUUGCUGUCUGCCACCUGUUAUGCCCAAGGAGUAGUUCUUGGUCUGGGGACUUCUGAGAAGGCUACAAAAGCUCAGAAUCCUUUCUUGCAACUUUGCCGUGAUCUCUUUGUGGCCAUAGGAGGACCAUCAGUCUAUAUUGGCCUCUUUAAUAAGCCACAAAUAAUAAGAGUGGUUUAGAUUCGAGUCAAUCCAGGACACAGAAUGUAUGUUUUCAGAGGCUGCACAUAGAAUGCACAGGGGAUGAGGAAACUGGCCUCUUGCACAGUCACUGACUCUGACAUCUAAGCUCAGACAUGCCUCUUUCUCCAGCACUCUGGGACGACAGAGGUUCAAUGUGCGGCUUCUCUGUCACAAUCUACUACUCAGCUGCUCACAGCAGAAGUACAAGCAGAAUCUUUCUCCCCUUCCCCAUUAGAACUUGGUCCCUUCACGCAGUGGACUUCCUCCCUCCCACCAGAUUCCCAGAAGCAACAUGGAGUCUGAGUCUCUCUCCUCCAUGUGGGAUGCUUCCUUCCCAUAGGCAGCAGGACCUGGGAGUUUCCUGGGGCAGAUCCUCUCUGUCCCUGGGUAGAUGACUUUUAAAAUACCAUUAUUGCUUUCCAAUCCCCUUCUACUCUGUUGUGUAGUUCCAUAUUGCUGGAUCCUGAGUCCAAAGGAUUAAAUUACAUCACUUUGUUAGAUCCCACCAAAUUAGCUACCUUCUAAAACCAAGAAGAAUUAAAGGAAAAGUUUUCAACUAUAUUAAGAAUUGAUAUUUCCAUGGAUAUUGUAUUUUUUUUAACUUAAAUUAUGGGAAAAGCAUAAACAACUAUAUUACUUUCUUCAGGAAGAGGAUUAGUAAAAGAUACUCAGUUCAAAGGAAGUUAAGAAUUUUAGUAGGAGCAUGGACCUGCUCCAGCUAGAUUGUAAAUAUCAAUAUAAACUACUUCCUUUAUAAGAAAAACGGUUUAGCUCUUCCAUUGAAGUAGCCCAAGAGUGGCUGGGCACGGUGGCUUACGCCUGUAAUCCCAGCACUUUGAGAGGCUGAGGCGGGUGGAUCACCUGAGGUCAGGAGUUUGAGACCAGCCUGACCAAUAUGGUGAAACCCCAUCUCUAGUAAAAAUACAAAAACUAGCUGGGCAUGGUGGUGGGCGCCUGUAAUCCCAGCUAUUUGGGAGGCUGAGGUAAGGGUAUUGGUUGAACCCCGGAGGCAGAGGUUGCAGUGAGCUGAGAUCGCGCCACUGCACUCCAGCCUGCGCAACAGAGUGAGACUCCAUCUCAAAAAGAAAAAAAAAAAAGAAAGAAAAAGCUCAAGAGCAAUGUGACCCCAUGACACAGCUUAAUGCUCACUACUAUAGUAAUAUUAUUUUCCACUAACGGGAACCAGGAUCCUUAGAGAAAUGACUAAUUUGAUAUUUGAGGUUACCUCCCAUCAGGGUCACAAACAAGAAUGUAGGCAGCUUCCCAACCUAAAUCACUGCUAAUAAGAUGAUGAAGUUAUCUGUUAUAAAACAAGCAGCAAGUGGUUUUCCAGUUGCUAUGAUGAGAAACUCAGAUUGUCAGCAAUCUCAUGAGAUUGCCCAUGAUAAUUCCAACACUUGAAGGGCACAUUGCUGUCACUUUCAAAGAUUCACUGCUAUUCCAACUUGCUUUUCAGAAAAACUGUGAGUGGCCAGGCCAUACUGUUUUCUACGAUAACACAUCCUUUUGAGCUCAGAGGUACUUAGGUUUUCUGUGCAAUGGCUCUUUUUACAAUCCAGUGAAGCCUAUGGGCCCUUUUUAGAAUAAUAUUCUCAAAUGCAUAAAAUGAAAUAAGUUGAAUUACAAGGAAAGCUAGGUAUAGUGAAAUAAAGUUAUCAAAAUAUUUUUAAAAUUUGUGAUAUAGUAAUAUAUACAUUCUUUAUUAGUAAAUUAAAAAACAAAAACAUUUAAA